AGUGGAGGAUGUCAUAGAGGGAUGAACCCUUUGUGGGCUCACAAACGGAUCGGGCAGAUGAACGCGUCAGGCAGCCUGGACAGUUUUUUUGUCUCCUCCUCCAAGUACCCUUACCAGGAGUCUCCUGAUUCGGCCCUGUGGGGGCUUUGCCACACCUGGGAUCUGGGACCGAUAACUCUACAAUUUCCAGAAAUGGCUUCUUUGGUUAUUUGUAUUUAAUGAACAUGUCAGCUUGCAAGAUUAAUCAUGGAAAUUUUGAUUUAGAAGAGACCCUUUGUCUGGAGUACAUUUGCCCCCAGAUAUCUUCUUGGCUUGUUUCCUAUCAGAAUGGAUUUUUUUCUUUUCCCGUCUUUUGGAAGAGCUGUUCAAAAUGGUGUACUUGAGGCUGGACAAGAAUGACCGUAUAAACUGGUCUCAGAAGACAUUUUGGAUCAACUGGAAAAGACUUCACUUCAGCAGAUCACAGUCCUCUUCUGAAGUCUCAGAGGUAGUCCCAGAAGGACUGUUGGGAACACAACAAGAUGUCCGCUGUGUGUGGGGAGGGGUGUGAAAAAUCACCCCGGUCGAGUCCCACUGCUCCAGGUGCUGUUGAAAGCUGAGGUUAUCACUGUCCACGCAAGAUAGAAAG